GUCUACGGCCAUACCACCCUGAAUGCACCAAAUCUUGUCUGAUCUCAGAAGUUAAACAGGUUCGGGCUUGGUUAUUACUUGGGUUGGAGUUGAAUAUAUAAAAAUGAAAAAUUAUAGACC
rnacentral:rRNA from 1 species